GCUCGCUUAGCUCAGCUGGUUAGAGCGUGGUGCUAAUAACGCCAAGGUCAGAGGUUCGAUCCCUCUAGUGAGCA